GAUGAACGCUGGCGGCGUGCCUAAUACAUGCAAGUCGAGCGAACAGAUGAGGAGCUUGCUCCUCUGACGUUAGCGGCGGACGGGUGAGUAACACGUGGAUAACCUACCUAUAAGACUGGGAUAACUUCGGGAAACCGGAGCUAAUACCGGAUAAUAUAUUGAACCGCAUGGUUCAAUAGUGAAAGACGGUUUUGCUGUCACUUAUAGAUGGAUCCGCGCCGCAUUAGCUAGUUGGUAAGGUAACGGCUUACCAAGGCAACGAUGCGUAGCCGACCUGAGAGGGUGAUCGGCCACACUGGAACUGAGACACGGUCCAGACUCCUACGGGAGGCAGCAGUAGGGAAUCUUCCGCAAUGGGCGAAAGCCUGACGGAGCAACGCCGCGUGAUUGAUGAAGGUCUUCGGAUCUUAAAACUCUGUUAUUAGGGAAGAACAAAUGUGUAAGUAACUAUGCACGUCUUGACGGUACCUAAUCAGAAAGCCACGGCUAACUACGUG
rnacentral:rRNA from 1 species